CGUUUGGAAACCACUGUUGUAGACAGAUUGCUACCAAUAGAGGUGUAACAAUGGAUGCACCGAAGAAAGCAGCUUGUUCAGAAGUCCAGGGCUUCUUGCACAAUGUGUCACCACUUGUUAAAGCAGGCAGCAGUGACUCCAAAUAUUUCACUGCAGUGGUGCAGGAGGCUACACGGAAUAGUCGAGUUGUCAGUUUUGAUGUACAACGGCAUAAUUAAUUUUCCUGUGCAGAGAAGGACAAAAGUCCUGUUAUGCUAAGUGGAGUGUCCUUCUCCAAAUCGCUGCA